GCCCUGGCCGGGCGGUCUGCCUUCACGGUAUGUACUGUCUGGCUGGGGCUUACCUCUUGGUGAGCUUGCAUGCCGUUUAUUCGGUGUGUGAGGGAACCAGGACUUUUACUUUGAGAAAAUUAGAGUGUUCAAAGCAGGCACAUGCCUGAAUACAUUAGCAUGGAAUAACAAAGUAGGACG
rnacentral:rRNA from 1 species